UCGCGCUGUCGGCUGCUCUAUUUGGAGCAUGCGUAUAACGAAAGGCUCGUUUAUAGGUGCAAAGUUUUUGGAGCAUGCGGCCAGUCACGCAAUGCCGCUUGCAAUGCGCCAGCCAAAAUGCCGUCCCCUCUAUACUUCGACGCUCGCGCCGUCGGCUGCUCUAUUUGGAGCAUGCGUAUAACGAAAGGCUCGUUUAUAGGUGCAAAGUUUUUGGAGCAUGCGGCCAGUCACGCAAUGCCGCUUGCACUGCGCCAGCCAAAAUGCCGUCCCCUCUAUACUUCGACGCUCGCGCCGUCGGCUGCUCUAUUUGGAGCAUGCGUAUAACGAAAGGCUCGUUUAUAGGUGCAAAGUUUUUGGAGCAUGCGGCCAGUCACACAAUGCCGCUUGCAAUGCGCCAGCCAAAAUGCCGUCCCC